rnacentral:rRNA from 1 species
GAAAGCCCCGACGGCGCGGGAUGGGGUCGCGGCCCAUUAGGUAGUAGGCGGGGUAGAGGCCCACCUAGCCGACGAUGGGUAGCCGGACUGAGAGGUCGAACGGCCACAUUGGGACUGAGAUACGGCCCAGACUCCUACGGGAGGCAGCAGUGGGGAAUUUUGCGCAAUGGGGGAAACCCUGACGCAGCAACGCCGCGUGCGGGACGAAGGCCCUCGGGUCGUAAACCGCUUUCAGCAGGGAAGACUUUACGACGGUACCUGCAGAAGAAGCUCCGGCUAACUACGUGCCAGCAGCCGCGGUAAUACGUAGGGGGCGAGCGUUAUCCGGAUUCAUUGGGCGUAAAGCGCGCGUAGGCGGCCGCCUAAGCGGAACCUCUAACCCCGGGGCUCAACCUCGGGCCGGGUUCCGGACUGGGCGGCUCGAGUGCGGUAGAGGAGAGCGGAAUUCCCGGUGUAGCGGUGGAAUGCGCAGAUAUCGGGAAGAACACCGAUGGCGAAGGCAGCUCUCUGGGCCGUCACUGACGCUGAGGCGCGAAAGCUGGGGGAGCGAACAGGAUUAGAUACCCUGGUAGUCCCAGCCGUAAACGAUGGAUACUAGGUGUGGGGG